rnacentral:rRNA from 1 species
UACGUAGGGGGCUAGCGUUAUCCGGAAUUACUGGGCGUAAAGGGUGCGUAGGUGGUUUCUUAAGUCAGAGGUGAAAGGCUACGGCUCAACCGUAGUAAGCCUUUGAAACUGGGAAACUUGAGUGGAGGAGAGGAGAGUGGAAUUCCUAGUGUAGCGGUGAAAUGCGUAGAUAUUAGGAGGAACACCAGUUGCGAAGGCGGCUCUCUGGACUGUAACUGACACUGAGGCACGAAAGCGUGGGGAGCAAACAGGAUUAGAUACCCUGGUAGUCCCUGAGCGGGCU